rnacentral:rRNA from 1 species
CCUACGGGAGGCUGCAGUGAGGAAUAUUGGUCAAUGGACGAGAGUCUGAACCAGCCAAGUAGCGUGAAGGAUGACUGCCCUAUGGGUUGUAAACUUCUUUUAUAUGGGAAUAAAAUGUUCCACGUGUGGGAUUUUGUAUGUACCAUAUGAAUAGGGAUCGGCUAACUCCGUGCCAGCAGCCGCGGUAAUACGGAGGAUCCGAGCGUUAUCCGGAUUUAUUGGGUUUAAAGGGAGCGUAGGUGGAUUGUUAAGUCAGUUGUGAAAGUUUGCGGCUCAACCGUAAAAUUGCAGUUGAAACUGGCAGUCUUGAGUACAGUAGAGGUGGGCGGAAUUCGUGGUGUAGCGGUGAAAUGCUUAGAUAUCACGAAGAACUCCGAUUGCGAAGGCAGUUCACUGGACUGCAACUGACACUGAGGCUCGAAAGUGUGGGUAUCAAACAGGAUUAGAUACCCUAGUAGUC